UUAAUAAUUGUUUUUUUCUUUAACAUUAAAACCAAAAAAAAAC
rnacentral:sRNA from 1 species